ensembl:lncRNA
AUGAUUCAAUCAUCUCUCACCGGGCCCCAUCUCCAACACUGGCGAUUUCAAUUCAACAUGAGAUCUGGGCAGAAACACAGAUCCAGACCAUCUCAUAUGUCUUGGGACUACUUGAGAUGGUCUGGAUCUCUUGACCUCAUGAUCCCCCGCCUUGGCCUCCCAAAGUGCUGGGGGUACAAGAGUGAGCCAUUGCACCUGGUCCAUGUGCAUUUUUGCAUCAUAUUUUUUCUUCCUGAGGCCAGUGUCACUGCUUGCUUGUCAAUAUACAAAGUUUAUUAUGACUGACCAGCCCCAAACAUAAAUGUUCUUACUAGUCCAACACCGGUAGCUAACUUUUCAUCUUCUUUCUAUCUCAUUAUGCAAUUCCUAGAUUAGUUAGAUUAGUUCAACCUGGUCAAGUUGCCCAAUUGAACUUGGUCAAAUUGUCUAUUUGUCUUUGCCCAGAGGAGUUUGUGAUGUGUGGGUCACUACUUGCUGGUUGGGGCUUUGGAAACAGCCUGAGAUGGAAAUGAGGCAGCUUGAGAAAUCAAAGUAAAUCCUAACUCCUCCAGUGGACUGAACAAAUCCUCUCUCAGCAAAUUGGAUGCCAGAGAAACCUUAAAAACUGAGUGCCCAGCACAAUGAAACAGGAGGGUGGACACACCUGUUAUACCACUCUCUUGCUAACCACCAUUAAGCUUUCUUUUCUAAGGGUUAAACAGAAAGUAGCUUUUUUGAAAGACAUCUUCCAUCCCUGAUUUCAACCAUCAGCCUGACACUGCCCUUCCCUUUUUACAGUUUCAACACAGCAGCUAACAGACGUUCCUUCCUGUUAAGAGACCACCGACCAUGGAAUAAUUGGUGCCAGUUUACGGAGGCUGUGCACUGAGUGCCUUUGUGUCUUCUGCUUCACCUUUUGAUGUAUAGAGCCUAACUGUAAUACACUUCAAUGUUAAAUCUGCACCCCAAAGUGAAUAUGAGACAUAUAACAUACAUGCUAGCUUACUACACAUGUGCCUGAUCCCCUUUGUAAAUAUUCAUGGCUUCCCCUAUAAUCUGUGAAAUACGGAUACUCAGCCAACCCAUUCGGCAUAAAUUCCUGUCUCAUCUUUUCCUCCCUGGAAGUGCCUGCUUUUCAGUGUCAACUGGAGGUUCCCAUACCCCUGCUUGAGAAAUGAAGUUCUCCUUUCUAAAUUUACAGAUUUUGUGACAUAUACCAGAUUUCCUGCAGUGUGACUGAAGAUAAUGCAUGCAUGACAGCUCAGGUGUCUCCCCAACCACAUUGGGAAAGAGCUAGGUAAGUCCCAAGAUCUCCUCCCACUUUUAGGCUGAAGAUCUUGGAGACUUUAUUUCUUCCUACAUCUCCCUUUCAUCUGGACCUUGGAAGAUAUAUUUCUCUUGGCCCUGGGUCUAAGGCAUGGGACAGUUGGUGGGGAUGCAUUUCAACUGAACUCAGUGGCUUCUCAAAGGGACACCUUUGGUAAAUGCUGUUAUGGAGAGCCUGGGCUCUAAGGGAACAGUCUCUGGUCAGCCAACAUCAGGAACCCUGGUGGCUUACAUGUUUAAGAACCAG